AAAGGCAGUUGAUAACAACUGGAAACGCAAACCUUUUUUUCUUUUUUCACUGAUUUAUCACUUCCUAGUUCCCGUUUCCCACCGGGAUGAUAAUUCUAUCUGCCUCAAUGAAGGUCUAGCUCUGUUAUCUGGAUGAAGGCUCGCAUGAAAGGUCAGGAGGAGUUCGCCGAGGAGAAAUACCAGAAAUCUAUAUGCAAAAACAUGCACUAUCAUCCCUAAUUUCUCAUGCUCAAACGCCUCCUUCUAGCUCCAAUAAUCGUUAAAUAAGACGCACAAUACCUUCGUUCCUUGUGCAUUUCAUGCUCUUUUUAUUCUAUCAAAAUUAGACAGCAAAACAAAUCUUCUGAUCGUGAUCUGAGGGAAUAUCUGAUUGUAAUUUAAACCAAUUAAUUAACGGUGUUUUUCCACCAUGAUUCUUUCUCAA